UAUUGGAUCCUCUCAACCUAGCUAGACAAAAGCCCACGAUUAUACAUAAUAGAAAGGAGGCGCAACGCCUACCAAUUAAACCCACCACUUAGCAAGAACUGAGGAAAAGAAUGAAGAAAGCAGCAGCAGAGGCUUCGAGCAAGAGCAGCAAUGGCGGAACUGAAACGAAAGGCCAGAAAAAACCCCAAUUUAGACCUGCUCUCGAUGACACUAAGCCAAUUCUCAAAGACCCAAUAUUGAGAUCGGACCCUAUUGAGACUGAGGAAGCUGUUCUUCGGUUGUCCCCUUUUCCAAUCGACAAAUUGAAAAAAUCCCAAAAAUUUGCUUCCUAAAACUAAUUCAGAUGUAUUUGUAGUUGAUGCAACAGUUGGUGAUUUGAAUAGCAAAUUCUGUUGUUGAACUUCUUGCUGCUAAAUGAGGUACUUCACGUAUUUUCUUUAGUACUAUCAAGAGUAUCUGAAUUCACAUCAGUAUCUUGUAGUAAUCCAAACAAAAAUGGCAAGUGUUUCACAGUUUUAGUAUUUGGUGAUCUCAUAUUGUAACUCUGGGUAGAAUUUGCUACCCAGAGUAACUCUGUUUUUCAUUUGCUCAUCUCUGGGUAGAAUUUUGUGUUUCUUCAAA